rnacentral:lncRNA from 1 species
AAAACAUUCUAUCACUAUAAUGCAUCCCGAACACUAAAAGUAUUUGAAGACAACUUAGUCUAACUUAUUAUUUUAUGGUGCCCUUUUGCUCUGUACUGGCUGGUUUUGUGUGUCAACUUGACACAAGAUGGAGUUAUCACAGAAAAAAGAUCCUCCUUUGAGGAAAUGCCUCCAUGAGAUCCAGUUGUAAGGCCUUUUCUCAAUUACUGAUCAAGGGUGGGAGAGCCCAUUGUGUGCAGUGCCAACCCUGGGCUGGUAGUCCUGGGUUCUAUAAGAAAGCAGGCUGAGCAAGCCAGAGUAAGGAAGCCAGUAAGAAGCACCUUCCAUGGCCUCUACAUAAGCCCCUGCAUCCAAGUUCUUGUCCUGUACCACAAAACCCCCAAAGAGACCACCACAACUCCGGUACAAGAACACGAGAGUCUUUAUUUGAGUUCGAGCUCCUGCCACAAACCACCCCAACUCAGCAGGGGCAAUCACACUUCACAGCGUGGGCGAUGAGACGGAGUUAAUAGUGAAUGGAUUUAUCUUUCCAUGGGUGUGGUCAGCCAACUACAGCCAAAGGGGUAAAAACAAUGCUGAGGGAAGCCUACUCAACCGGGUGAUUAUCUGGAAGGCAAUGACAUCAACUCUACCUAAGAAGAGUAGUGCAAAAAACGGAUGGCAUGGGGACAAUAAAAUUCCACAGGUCACGGGGACACUUACUACCACGGACUAAACCUGGGUCAGGGUUUGAGAGAGAGCAAGCUGAAAAGAUGGAAGUGUGGGAGGAUCAUGAGAAGUGGGAGUUGCUUUUUCUCAGCCUUUAAAAAGAUGUCUCAGCUAAAGGGAUCUUCAACCCUAUAGGUGGAACAACAUUAUGAACUAACCAGUACCCCUGAGCUCUUGACUCU